CAAAAGGGAAACAGCCCAAAACAAAAAUUAAGGUUCCAAAAUUAUUAGUUAAGUGAAAUUAAGAAAGUUUUUAUUAAAGUCGACAAGGAGAUAGGCUUAGAAGCAGCCACAAUUUUAUGACCUCGUAACAGAGCGCUUGUUAAGCUAUAAAAGCAUCGAAAAUUUAACGGAUCUAAACAAUAUACCGAAACCUUGUCCAUAUAAGAUAAAAUUUUAUUUUAAUUAUAUGGGGUAGCAGAACGUUGAAUUAUGUUAAGACUUUUAUUUUUUAAAUAAAAGUAACUAUUUUUAUAUAAUAAAUUCUAGCCUAAUUUUAAUAUUACUAGAAUUCUCAUUUAUAAAAAUGAAAAGUCAAAUUCAAGUGAGAAUGGUGACAUGAGUAACUAAAAGAAAAAUUUAAUUUUUCCGCCUAAAGCUUAUGGAUGACAUUAAGUAACGGCCUCUAAGUUUAUAAUUAUCUAAAGGUUUAAACGAUGAGAAAUCUUCAUUACUAAGGACGACAUUUUUGUGAAAAAUGUACUGGAAAAAUAGUAAUAUUCUUAUAGAUUAAUAAUCUAUAGGAAAAAUAACCGUACCUAGAUUCUGAAACAAGUAAGCUAGUAGAGAAUACGAAGGCGUAAAUGAGCUAACAAUCAUAAAGGAACUCGGCAAAUUAACUACCGUAACUUCGGAAUAAGGAGGGCUCAUUAUUCUUGAUUAAUAUCAAGUAAAAAGGAAGAAGCAUGAAAUAGUGUUGUACGACUGUUUAAUUAAAACACAGCACUUUGCUGAAAGAUUAAAAAUCUAAGUAUAAAGUGUGAGAUCUGCCCAGUGCCGGCUGGUUAACAGAGACAACUAGGUAUACUAUUAUCUAAUGUCGACGGAAACCCCGGUUAAAGGCGGCCUUAACGUGAGGGUCCUAAGGUAGCUAAAUGCCUUGGCCGUUAAAUGCGGUCUUGCAUGAAUGGUGUAACGAUACAACAGCUGUCUCUAUGAUUGACUCAGUGAAAUUGGAAUAGCUGUGCAGAUACAGCUUACCUCUAGUUAGACGAGAAGACCCUAUGCAGCUUUACUGUCACUAAUUAUAGAUUAUGUUAAGGAAUUUUCAGAUUAUAAGGUAAUCGAUUUUAGAUUAAAAUGAGAAACCUUUAUUUUUAUUUCAUUUGAAUGAAUGAAUUUAAGAUUAUAAUUUCAAUUAUUGCAAAUAAUGAGGCUAUUUAGCACGUUAUUUGUAAGAUAUUAUAAUAAUAAAUUAACCUAAUUCAGCUUAUUUUUUUUAUAAUAUAAAUAAAUAAGUUCCCUUUGGUGAGGAAAUAUCGUUAGGAGACAGUUUAUGUGGGGCACAGACCCUGUAAAGAGUAAACAGGAGUGUCUAAUAUUAUUUUUAUUUUUAGUUUGUCAUUUUUAAUAGUUAUUUAUAAUAAUUAUUAUUGAUCAUAUUUAUUUAGAUAUAUUUAUAAAUUUUUAUAGAUAUAUUUAAAAUAAGGUAGGAUUUUUACUACAUAGAAAGUAGAGAUAUUAAAAGUUUUACGGAAAUUUUCCUAAAAUUUUUUAGAUUAUUUAAAAAUAAUCCAUGUUAAUAUCUAAAAAGCUCAACGGCUAAAUCCUGCCUUACUGUUUGAUUAUCUACAAAUCUUACAGUUGCGUAAGCAGGGCAUAGGAUCACAAGAUACAAUAAGGAAAGAUCUUGGAUUUUUGGAAAAGCUACGCUAGGGAAACAGGCUAAUUUGCGCAAGAGUGUACAAAAUGAGUGCGCGGUUUGGCACCUCGAUGUCGGCUUAACUUAUCCUCAUGGAUGCAGAAACUAUGUAGGGUGCGACUGUUCGUCGAUUAAAAAGUUACAUGAGCUGGGUUAAAUACGUCGUGAGACAGUAUGGUUUCUAUCUUCUAGAGGGAAUUAGAAUAUAAUAAGAAUGAACUUUUGUACGAAAGGAACAAGAAUGAUUUAGUUUAAUUUUGGUUAAUUCUGAAAUUAGAUAAAAUAAUUGUUACUAACCUAUGGUUUACCUGUUGUUUAUAUGUCCCGGAUAUUAAAAUUAUUUCCUAUUACAAUAGGAAGGGAAUGUUUCUUUCACUAAGAUAAAUAAAUAGUAUAGGCAUGGCAGGGACGCUAAGUUAGUUAAAGGUAAGUGCUGAAAGCAUAUAGGCACGAGACUUAUCUUAAGAUAUUUCUUAAAUAUACGUAUUAUAUUAAUACGAAUUAAUUAUAGGUUUUAUUGGUAAGAAUUUUGAAAUUUUUAAGAACAAAAUACUAAUUUUAUAAAUUACUAUUUAUACAUAUAUC
rnacentral:rRNA from 1 species